rnacentral:rRNA from 1 species
AUUGAACGCUGGCGGCAUGCCUUACACAUGCAAGUCGAACGGCAGCACGGGAGCAAUCCUGGUGGCGAGUGGCGAACGGGUGAGUAAAGUAUCGGAACGUGCCCAGGCGUGGGGGAUAACGUAGCGAAAGUUACGCUAAUACCGCAUACGAUCUAUGGAUGAAAGCGGGGGAUCGCAAGACCUUGCGCGAUUGGAGCGGCCGAUAUCAGAUGAGGUAGUUGGUGGGGUAAAGGCUCACCAAGCCGACAAUCUGUAGCGGGGCGGAGAGGACGACCAGCCACACUGAGAUUGAUACACGGCACAGACUACUACUGGAGGCAGCAGUGGGGAAUUUUGGACAAUGGGCGAAAGCCUGAUCCAGCCAUGCCGCGUGCAGGAUGAAGGCCUUCGGGUUGUAAACUGCUUUUGUACGGAACGAAAAGGUUUGGCCUAAUAAGCUGAGCUCAUGACGGUACCGUAAGAAUAAGCACCGGCUAACUACGUGCCAGCAGCCGCAGUAA